ACACACACACACACACAAAAAAAAAAAAAAAAAAAAAAAAAAAAAAAAAAAAAAUCUUCAUCUUCCUUUUCUU
rnacentral:ribozyme from 12 species